rnacentral:rRNA from 1 species
UACGUAGGGUGCAAGCGUUGUCCGGAAUUAUUGGGCGUAAAGAGCUCGUAGGCGGUUUGUUGCGUCGGCUGUGAAAUCCCGAGGCUCAACCUCGGGUCUGCAGUCGAUACGAGCAAACUAGAGUGUUGCAGGGGAGACUGGAAUUCCUGGUGUAGCGGUGAAAUGCGCAGAUAUCAGGAGGAACACCGGUGGCGAAGGCGGGUCUCUGGGGCCGAUACUGACGCUGGAGGAGCGAAAAGCGUGGGGGAGCAAAACAGG